GCCCAAUCCAAAAUGCGUCACAUUUUUGUUCAAUUUGCCCCAAAUCACCAUCACCACCAAACUCGCCGGCACGAUCACCGCGCCAACCGUCGAGUCGAAUUCGCCGCCCCAAAACCCUAGAUUCAAGCACAUUCCGAAACCUGAGGGAAUUCUUAUCAAAUUUCGGGAUCAAUUCUUAGAAGUUCUUCAAUUUCUACUGAAACUCUUCGCCCUCUACAGUGCUCGAUUGAAGUGCUCGAUUGAGGUUAGAUUUGAGCUACGGGAAUUGCUAAGGAGUUAAUCAAGCAAGGCAACGACCACGACUGGCCAAGCUGCUGCUAUCGCUCAUUGCACUGGUUUCGGCAGAAACUGAGAUCUCGCCCAAAAGUUAUGGAGCACCAAGGAUGAAGGUCAUAAGCCUUUCUAUUUUCAAAUAGGGAAAGAUACUGUUAUUUAAGGGUGGCUUUGAUAUGAUCUGCAGUAGGAGGGACAAGAUAGAGACCCCUGAACAAUUCAAAAAGGCUGAGGAGACUGUGAAUAAGCUUGAUUUGGACGGACUUGUUGUCAUAUGAGGAGAUGAUUCAAAUACCAAUGCAUGUCUUCUUGCUGAGAAUUUCAGGGAAAAGAAAAUGAAAACACGAGUCAUCUUAUGAUUAUGAUGCUGUCUCAAAGUCUUGUUAUCAGUUUCUUGGAUCAUUUUUGGGCAGCUCUGAUAAGGCCAAAGAUACAAAUUCUCAUACACUAAACACAUCAAUGGGUUUACUGCAAUCCUUGAAGAUGAAGAAGUUUCUAGAAUAUCUAAGCAUCCCAAGGUUGCACAACAUGGUCAUGGGAUUUUACUUUAAGCCGGUCCUCUAUGGAAGAAGGCUAGAUUUGGGGAAGAUACCAUUAUUGGAAAUCUUGAUAACGAUGUAUCAUUUCUCUCGAUUUGAAUAUUACUCUGCACAGCCAGUGUUAUUUGGAGGAUUCUUCCUAGAAACUAUCCUCCUCCUAAGUGGGAUGGGCAAGGAGGGGUGUAUGACAGGUCAAGAGGUGUGAGGAAGAACUGUUGAAUCAGGAUACUGGUUUGGGAAGAUGGUUUUUGCAAUUUUGCAACUUCUGUAGGUGAGGUGAAGGAAUGUGGGCUGCAGCCUGACCUCUUCUUCAAAAAGUCACAUGAAAUCUACAAUUAUGGUGAAGGUUUGAUUGGGAAAGUGGCGGCUGAUCACAACCACAAAUGGAUCCACAAAGAGCCAAAUGAUUAAGAAAUCAACUUCCUAUCUGCAUGGCAUAACUCUGAUUAAUAGAUUGCUCUCGAAAUACAACUUUGACAUCUCAAAGUUGGGGCUAUUAGUGAACAAGAGCUAUACAGAGGAUCUCAAAUUCAUGGCGGAGCUAGUUAAAUCUGGAGCAGGGGACAUCGGUAUUCACACUAUGAAAAAGUUUCCUCAGUCGUAUCACCUGCAGAGGCGCUCCUGUUUUAUGAUCAGGAACCAUGCCCUUCGAAAUGCAAAAAAACAGAAAAAUUCUCUGUUAUAAUGGCAUUGAGCAACUAAUCCGAAGGGCGAAGCAAACCCACAAGAACUUCAAAGCUGCUGCCACUGAUGCUCUUAGGGAUUUAGGUUUGGACAAUUACAACUCGUGAGCUUUUUCACUGUUAUUCCUUUAUCAUAUUGCUUUGUUUCAGCCACUGCCAAGAAUAUCAUGUGUUGUAAUUUCAUGCCAUAAUCUUAUCACAUUUGUUUUAAUAUAUUGCAAAUCGAUAUUGUGUAUA